rnacentral:sRNA from 1 species
AGACAGUGCAAUCUAUGUCUGGGAGCUAGUUGUAAUAAGAGUUUUAUUUCUGAGGAUAAUGUGUGUACAUAAAGAAAUCUUAUAUAAAGAUAUUUAUGGGUGUUCAUUAUGUUUCGUCUGUGGGUGUUGAGGAUGUUUUGAGUUUUUACCAUCGGACUGUGAUAAAUACAAUCUGUGUCCAAAACCAGACCAGGUAUACGCUACUGAUUUUUACCUCUGUAUUGAGAAUUUCUUUCAUAGACUGACAUUGUUUGCUCACAACAAAUAUGGAUUAUAUAGUAUGGGUAUACGUCUUUCGGUAUGAAUAUAUAUGUAUAUAUAGAAUAUAUCUCCUUUUACAUGUACUACUUUAUUGCAAUUUACAUGCAAACACACACAAAUAUGACAUGAACAAAACUCUAUGGUUACCUUCUGCUGUUUUACAUGCAGCUGCUUCUGAUUAAACUGUGUGUGACAGCCCUUCUGAAGAAUAAUCUCACACAAACAAUUCACUAUUAUUCCUUAAUUCAUAAAAUUGUCAAGACAAUGACAAAAUCUGAUCAAAAUCGGGCAUGCUGAAAAUAAAAUAAUGUGCAGUUUGAUUCAGAUUUUUGUGCAAGAUUUUGUAUAUGCAUGAGGGAUGUUUUGUGGCAUCUAAAAUUCAUAUUUUAUUAAUAUGCAUUAAGUUAUUUAACAUUUUUACUAUAAAUAUUUGAAUAACUAUAUUUAUACUUAUAUUUUCAAUCUUUACAUUAUUUCUAUAUGUUUCUUUUGUUUGUUUAGAUUCAAUUAUUAUUGCUGUUGGUUUUUUCUGAUUUCUUUCUCCAUUGUAUUUGUUUUCUACAUAAUGUAUCAAAAUUGAAAAAGAGUUAAGCCUCUAAUCAGAUUUUGUUUACAAGGAGAGUGCUUCUUGUUACCUUCUGUGUUGCAGUAGUAAAUUUUCUUGUCUUUUUUUUCUUGCAUCAAAUUUUUGCAUGGAAAAAGUAUGAAUAAUGAUGUUAUACUUUGUGAAGCAAACCAAACAAAGUGAUGGACACGACUUUCAGUGAUGGUGCCAAAUCAUUUCCACAGGCAGUGUUAACCAGGACUUAUCAUAAGUCUGUUCAUGUUUGUUAGACACUUAUUUUAGUUUGUAAGAAAUUAUUGUACAAUGUACAAGGUUCUGUUAAACAGGUGUUCAGCUUUUGUGUAGAAAACUGCUAUGUGCUUGCCAUUAUAGGAAAACGAUUGAAGUUUUCAGUAUGACUAAGUAAUAAGUUUGUACUAGUUAUCUAUCUGAGGGUAUCAUCUCACAUACAAGUGAGAUAUUUUGUGCUUGAUAUAUUGUUUUCACUACAAAAGUUGUUUUGUUUUCAAUGGUGUUCAGCAUUUACCUCCCUUUUUUUUUUGCUGCAUAUAAAUGUGUCAAUCUUCAGAAAAUUAAAAAAAAAAUUGUUACAAAAUCCCUGAAUUUGUUACAAAGCAAUAAUAAAUUAAUGAAAAGAC